ncrna:Drosophila mojavensis microRNA dmo-mir-281 precursor (dmo-mir-281-1)
CGAAUAAGUGAAUAAAGAGAGCUGUCCGUCGACAGUCCAGUAAAGAUUGUAAAACUGUCAUGGAAUUGCUCUCUUUGUAUGAUAUUCG